UCCUUCGGGACUGCUAUACAGGGGGUGCAUGGUUGUCGUCAGCUCGUGUCGUGAGAUGUUGGGUUAAGUCCCGCAACGAGCGCAACCCCUGUUGCUAGUUGAUAACAUUAAGUUGAUCACUCUAGCGAGACUGCCGGUGAUAAAUCGGAGGAAGGUGGGGACGACGUCAAAUCAUCAUGCCCCUUAUGUCUUGGGCUACACACGUACUACAAUGGCUAUAACAGAGGGAAGCUAAGCUGCAAAGUGGAGCAAAUCCCCAAAAAUAGUCCCAGUUCAGAUUGUGGGCUGCAACCCGCCCACAUGAAGUCGGAAUUGCUAGUAAUGGCAGGUCAGCAUACUGCCGUGAAUA
rnacentral:rRNA from 1 species